ensembl:lncRNA
UGCCAACUCAGCGAAUUUCAGCUUAGGCAGCUGCACGCUCGUUGCUAGAGCUCCCCAGGCAGUUUCAUCUCACCAUCAGGCUCUUGCCUUCAGCAAGCACCGAGCUGUCCUGUGGCCGUGCAGGUCCUGCUGGCUGAGGCUGUAUUUCAGCGAGAUGGCUGCAGCGCUAUCUGCCCAGAGAUUUAGGACUCCUUGAAAGUUUUACACAGGUGAUGAAUAAAAAUGAUAUAAAGAAGCAAUGAACGUUCAAUGUUUUAUAUUUAAAAUACGUUUUGUGAGGAAAACAAUGUGGCAUAGAAACAGGACUGAAAGGUUCUCCAAGAUAAUGCCAGCGACUGCAAGAUGUCAGCAGCAUUGCCAUAUGGGGCUGCUUGCUGCUCACCUGUUUGGCAUCGGCGCUGCACAGGUCUCAGCUGGAUGAUGGCCACCCAGGGCCUGGUGUGCGUGGCAUUGGUGGCCGUGCUGUGCGAUGGAGCAGAGAGGAGG